rnacentral:lncRNA from 1 species
CACAGGAGCUUCACCUGAGGCCACCGGUCCUCCUUCCUAUCCUCCAACAUGGUAUCCCCUACUCCCGUGACUAACAUCCCCAGGCAAGUGCAUCACAGAAUCCAGUGUAGCCGAGGAUGAUCCGCGAGUAUUCAACUGUGCCAUAUGGCAUGGUUUAGCCCCCAUAUCAUCCAGUGACCUAGUUUAGAGCAGCUCCUCCUUGUCGGUGCCAUGGUCGUUGAUGGCCUCAUAAGUAACCUGCCAUACAACCGCCGCCUCA